GGCCCGGCUCUUGCUAUCAGCAAAGGACAGGUAGCCAACGGCGGUUGCCCCCUUCACGACAAAGACGUCGC
rnacentral:ncRNA from 1 species